UACGGGGGGAGCAAGCGUUGUUCGGAUUUACUGGGCGUAAAGGGCGCGUAGGCGGUAGCACAAGUCAGUUGUGAAAUCUCCGGGCUUAACUCGGAAAGGUCAACUGAUACUGUGCGACUAGAGUGCAGAAGGGGCAACUGGAAUUCUCGGUGUAGCGGUGAAAUGCGUAGAUAUCGAGAGGAACACCGGUGGCGAAGGCGGCGUUCUGGACUGCAACUGACACUGAGGAACGAAAGCCAGGGGAGCAAACGGG
rnacentral:rRNA from 1 species